UACGUAGGGGGCGAGCGUUGUCCGGAUUUAUUGGGCGUAAAGAGCUCGUAGGCGGCUUGUCGCGUCGUCCGUGAAAACCCACAGCUCAACUGUGGGCUUGCGGUCGAUACGGGCAGGCUGGAGUUCGGUAGGGGAGACUGGAAUUUACGGUGUAGCGGUGAAAUGCGUAGAUAUCGUAAGGAAGACCAGUGGCGAAGGCGGGUCUCUGGACAGUUCCUGACGCUGAGGCACGAAGGUCAGGGGAGCAAACGGG
rnacentral:rRNA from 1 species